CAAAGAAGUACACAAACACCGCCGUUAUGGCAGGCAGCCCAACUUUGUUUCAUUGAUUUCAGACCUUUGCGCUCCUGUCGCCUUUGCGGAUUUGUAGGGUGGAAGAAAACACAGACAGUCGGACAUUCAUUUAUCCGAAGUGUGGAGAUUAAAAACGAAAACUAAAAAGUUUGAGAGUGAGAAAACUUUUAUCUGGAGUCAUGUGUCAACGUUAUGAGUGGAGACUAAAGAAAAGGGAGUCAGAGCCGGGAUGUUACUGCGUAAAAGUUCGCAAAAUGUGGGACCACCAACUGAUGGAAGGAGGCAGAUUUAUGGAGGGGGCUGGAGAAUAUCUCAGCUGUCGUGGGGGAAGAGGGAGGACACACCCUGGACAAGACGUCAGUCUGUCCCAGGCAGGCAACAGGCAACCAUUCAAUCCCACAACCAAUUUAGAAUCACCAAUUAAACUAACCCAUGCAUGUUUUUGGACUGUGGGAGGAUGCUGGAGUACCCAGAAAGAACCCACACAAGCACAGGCAGAACAUGCAAUCACCAAACAGAAAGGCCAGAGCCACGAAUUGAACCUAGGAUCUUUUUACUGUGAGGCAACAGUGCUAACCACCAUCACCACUGCACCAGCCCAACUAAACUCAUGACAGGAAGUAGCUCCCCCUAAUUUCUACCUAAUGCUUAAUUCAUGGUCACCACAUUGGUUGCUGCAUGUGCCAGCUGUGACAUCAUCACAGAAUCAUCACUAUUCAGUUGAUUCAUACUAAAUUUUUUGCAGUCUUCUGAGCGACAGGUGUCAAAGGAACAAGUGAAGAAACACUUUAUAAUAUGUAUGUGUCUAAGGGUGUACUUCCCCUGUUAUUGAAUGGAAUUUCAAAGUAUUUUAUCUGAAACUAAAAUGUAUAUAUAUUUACCUACAAAUACGUAAAGGUACCCCACAAUAAUAGGGUAAAGUAAAAGUAAAGUAAGACCGUUUAAAUAGUGUGUAAGUAAUUUUAAUUAAUUCAUUAGCAAUUUUACAUAGCUUCAGGUAUUUUACAAGAAAGAAGAAAUAAUUACAUUGAAGGUCAAUUUAGGUAAUGCAUAAAUAAUUAAAUAAGUGAAUAGGAAAGAAGUGCCUAAAUUCUGGCUACUUUACAGGAAAGGAGACACACACAAUACUAUAAGCAAUUUUAAGUAACUUCAUGUAUUUUACAGGAAAGAAAAAAUAAUUAGAUUGUAAGUAAUUUAGGUACUGCAUAAGUAUUUUUAAGUAGUACAUCUAGGUAUGGUGUAUAUUUGUCCAUGAUGGAUGUUAUAUUUUGAGGCCAACCAUCCAUUUAUAUUAAUAAUAUAAAUUUAACAAGGACUGUUCUCCCUUACAAAAAAUAAAUACUGUCAAUAUUUGCUGGCCUAUGUGGUCUUAUAAUAAUGGAGCCAAGCCUAACUGAAUUCUUUUUGCAGUCAUUGUUUAAAAAAUUACUUCUUAAAGAAGUGUUUCGGGAAAGAAGUGUCUGUUUUCCUGUAAAGUUACCUGUAAGCAGGGGGCAGCUUCCAUAAUGGCUGAGUGGAUGAACGGAUGGCUGGAGUAGAGGAGCUGCAGUGCGUGGAAGUGUUUCAUCUCCAGUCUGUACUCCAGAGGUGUAAGAAGGUCAGAGAGUGAGAUGCAGAGCGGUGCGCUUGCUGCCUCCUUGUGUUGCUCAACGCUCCAACAGAGCUUCCUGUGUGCGCCGUUUUCAGCUAACCUUGCCAGCAGCAAUCGGGAGCUGCCGUGAGGAGGUUCACGUGAAUAUGUAUUGUGUCAGAGAGGAGCCAGCAACUGCAUCCACAGGUCCGCAGGUUCUUCGCUCACAAUGAGACAGAGGGGAGGCGGGGGGAAGAGAUGCACGCUGCGAGAUAUCGACUGCAGCAGUCUUCUCGCCUCGUAACACAUGACAUAAUGUCUCCUGCAGACAGCCUCAGACAGCGUUGUUCUGAGACAACAACAUUUUCCAAGGAGCUCCCAACAGUAGUUCAACAAAUGCCGACCGCCAUGAUGUGACGCAGUCAUGUGGGAGCGUCUAGCAGACCAAAAAUAAAUGUAUUUGGCAGCGUGACUUCUGUUCUGGGACUGCACGCCCCUCCAAGAUGCAUAGUAGCAACAAGAACCCCAGUGCAGAACAGAGCAGGGAUCAAAUUACAAGAAACCUUGGAACAACUGCUUCUUUGUUUCAUAUAACAGUCUAUACAAACCAUGUGACAGUGGGCCUUGGUUACUUAGAUAAGUAAUUUUGUUUGCUUUUGUUCUGAGUGUGAGUACGGGCAUUUGCAAAA
ensembl:lncRNA